rnacentral:rRNA from 1 species
AUUGAACGCUGGCGGCAGGCCUAACACAUGCAAGUCGAACGGUAACAGGAAACAGCUUGCUGUUUCGCUGACGAGUGGCGGACGGGUGAGUAAUGUCUGGGAAACUGCCUGCUGGAGGGGGAUAACUACUGGAAACGGUAGCUAAUACCGCAUAACAUCGCAAGACCAAAGAGGGGGAACUUCGGGCCUCUUGCCAUCGGAUGUGCCCAGAUGGGAUUAGCUAGUAGGUGGGGUAAUGGCUCACCUAGGCGACGAUCCCUAGCUGGUCUGAGAGGAUGACCAGCCACACUGGAACUGAGACACGGUCCAGACUCCUACGGGAGGCAGCAGUGGGGAAUAUUGCACAAUGGGCGCAAGCCUGAUGCAGCCAUGCCGCGUGUAUGAAGAAGGCCUUCGGGUUGUAAAGUACUUUCAGCGGGGAGGAAGGGGGUAAAGUUAAUACCUUUGCUCAUUGACGUUACCCGCAGAAGAAGCACCGGCUAACUCCGUGCCAGCAGCCGCCAUAA